UUUGGAUUGCAUCAGAGAAUACAAAUAAUAGGAUAGUAAAGAAGAAGAAGAUCAUGAGAAUUAUUACAUAUACGGAUAUCAAGUUAAAACAUCUAAAUUACAGGUGAUAAUGUAAUUGACAGUAACUGCUGGAAAUUGCCAAAGAAAAGUAGAAUUGCUAUGAGAGAGCUUCCAAGUAAAAUUUUCACACCAACACAAGGAGCUAAUACCCUUUCCCACAACAAUUCCCCCAGUUACUCACAGUUGGCAACUCUGUUAGAAUUGUGGCCACUGGCUUGCUUGCCAUCAUUGUCUCCAUUUUCCGCACUUUUUCUUCCUGCUAUUGAACAACUUUUCACAAUCAAAGCCAAAUCUUCAUAUAUCUUGAGUAUGAUUUGGCCUCUCUUUGGUGGAAGCCUUGCACUUCCUCUCUUCUCUGCCUUGCUGGUUCCUCUCUCCAUUCUUGAAAGACUGAAUAUGGUAUUUUCCAAUUUCCACUAUAAGAAGAAAAGAGGGCAAGAUAGAGGCUUUUGAGAGUCACUGAAGGAAAAGAAACAAGAAAUGAAGAG
rnacentral:misc_RNA from 1 species